GACAUGUGGGGCGUGAGCUCCAAGGUAAUUUUGGGGGAAUUUAUAGUGUGUGAUCCCCGCCCAUUACUUAUUGCAGUUAUAGGCUCUCUUUCUAUGUAGGUUAUUUUUGUUCUUAAUUGUCAUGUCAGCUUGGUUCAACUGUAAUUGAUGAUCCAAGUGAACCACCCACUUCAUCUACCACAGCUUCAACAGAUAAGAGGUGAUAAGAUUGGGCGAGAUAGAAGAGAUCAUGAGAAACAUGAUGAAUAUUACUGCACCACUCUUCACCUUCAACUGCGACCUCGCUGAACUCAGGUUUAAAUGCAAAGCUUGCAGCCAAGCACAUUAUCCACAAGCUUGCAUUACCACCAUGUUCUAGAUCUCUUUUGGAGGCGACGAAGUAGUAUGCUCUUGAUGAGUUGCUUCCUGGGCAGGUUUCGUUCUGUGCUAGACUAUAUUGCCAGAAACUUCAUAUGUAAAGGAAGAAUACGAUGAGCCCAAUUCACUGCUUGAGGAAGCUCCGAGCCGUCAAGAAAGCAAGCGUGCCGGCGGCGGCUCUAGCGCUGAUGGGCGACAGUGAGCGAAGCACGUAGUGCAGCAGCCUGGACAUGAUGCGGGGGAGGUGUUCAGACCAUAGGCGUGUCUUGGGAUUGUGGCGAACGGUGCCAGUCAGCGAUGUAGCGGCGUCCACAUGCGACGACCAGGUCAGGCAUGUCAAUCCCCUCCCUUCUCCUCUCUCUCUCUCUCUCCCUCUCUCUCUCUCUCUCUCGUUGUGCACUGCCGUAGCUAAAAUGGUUCAUUUAGAGAAGGGACGGGAAGGGAAUUUGACCAAGUUUUUAUUUGCCUUAAGUUUUUACAUUCUGUGAUUCUGAAGCAAAUGUUACACAUGUUCAUGCUCUUUCAUGGCCCAUGUUGUUAAGAAACAUAUUGUAUUGUUUCCUUUUUAUGAAAGCAAUGUUGUUUUCUGACUAUGAGGUUCUCCAUGCAUAUGGAUUGAUCAUAUUUUCAGUGUUCUGAAGUUUUCAUAUGAGGGUAGGCAGGUACAGAUUAAUGUUAAGGCAUGAAAAUUAGGGAAAUGCUAAUUGGUGUAUUAGAAGUUUGCUCUUUGGAUUUCGAGCAUAUCUACAUGCUGCCAUUGAUUUUUUGUACUUGCAAUGUAUUUGGCUCAUAUAUGAUCAUAGAAUUCUUGCAAUGUACUGGCAUAUAUUAAGUUCGUGUAACUGUUAUUACAUUUUGUAUAUAAUAAUAAUAAUUAGCAAGUUACACACAUGUUUAGGGUACUAGCAUUCAGAGUCAGAGUUAAUCUUGCGCUGUCGGUAUGGGUUACAGGAGUAUUCUGUAUUAGCACAUUUGUAAAUGGGAAAAUUUGUUGCUUUAAAGCAUUUCU